rnacentral:rRNA from 1 species
GACGAACGCUGGCGGCGUGCUUAACACAUGCAAGUCGAACGGAAAGGCCCCUUUGGGGGUACUCGAGUGGCGAACGGGUGAGUAACACGUGAGUAACCUGCCCUUGACUUCGGGAUAACUUCAGGAAACUGGGGCUAAUACCGGAUAGGAAUCCUUGCUGCAUGGUGGGGGUUGGAAAGCUUCGGCGGUUUUGGAUGGACUCGCGGCUUAUCAGCUUGUUGGUGGGGUAGUGGCUUACCACGGCUUUGACGGGUAGCCGGCCUGAGAGGGCGACCGGCCACAUUGGGACUGGGAUACGGCCCAGACUCCUACGGGAGGCAGCAGUGGGGAAUAUUGCACAAUGGGCGGAAGCCUGAUGCAGCAACGCCGCGUGCGGGAUGACGGCCUUCGGGUUGUAAACCGCUUUCAGCAGGGGCGAAGCUUGUGGUGACGGUACCUGCAGAAGAAGCACCGGCUAACUACGUG